rnacentral:rRNA from 1 species
AACGAACGCUGGCGGCGUGCCUAAUACAUGCAAGUCGAGCGGAAUGAUGAAGAAGCUUGCUUCUUCUGAUUUUAGCGGCGGACGGGUGAGUAACACGUGAGCAACCUACCUUGUAGAUUGGGAUAACUCCGGGAAACCGGGGCUAAUACCGAAUAAUCCAUUUUGCUUCAUGGCGAGAUGUUGAAAGACGGUUUCGGCUGUCACUACAAGAUGGGCCCGCGGCGCAUUAGCUAGUUGGUAGGGUAAUGGCCUACCAAGGCGACGAUGCGUAGCCGACCUGAGAGGGUGAUCGGCCACACUGGGACUGAGACACGGCCCAGACUCCUACGGGAGGCAGCAGUAGGGAAUCUUCCACAAUGGACGAAAGUCUGAUGGAGCAACGCCGCGUGAGUGAAGAAGGUUUUCGGAUCGUAAAACUCUGUUGUAAGGGAAGAACACGUACGAGAGUAACUGCUCGUACCUUGACGGUACCUUAUUAGAAAGCCACGGCUAACUACGGG